rnacentral:rRNA from 1 species
UACGUAGGGGGCUAGCGUUGUCCGGAAUCAUUGGGCGUAAAGCGCGUGUAGGCGGUUCGGUAAGUCCGCUGUGAAAGUCGGGGGCUCAACCCUCGAAAGCCGGUGGAUACUGUCGGGCUAGAGUACGGAAGAGGCGAGUGGAAUUCAUGGUGUAGCAGUGAAAUGCGUAGAGAUCAUGAGGAAGACCAGUGGCGAAGGCGGGUCUCUGGACAGUUCCUGACACUGAGACACGAAGGCCAGGGGAGCAAACGGG